CUUUUUGAGAGCAAGCUUGUGCCCGUGCCUGGAAGUGAGGAGGGCUGGAACUGGGGCCCUACUGAGAAGCCCUGUAUCUGCAGAACUCCGUCCCAUGCAGGCCAGGGGUGCACAGAUUUUUGCAGCCCUCUGAUGCUGAAGCCUUUCUGGGGCUGGGAUGACCCAAUGCCCACCUGGACCGUGCACUUCCUGGGAACCCUCUGAGACAACUUCCGGGCAGAGCUUAUCAUCAUGGAGUCAAUGCAAGUCUGGGAACAGUGGCCCGAAACUGCGCCCCUCCAGUGUGUGGGUGGGGGCCCUUCAGUGAGGACUCCCCCAGUCUGGGUGGAGAGCCAGCCCGAUCGGCUUGAUUCCUCCACUGCUGACACUGUGAGCCUCAGAUUCUGAGAGCUUGGGAGGAUGGACAGAGACUGUGGUCAGCAGGAGAAUGGGAAGCAGACGGGAGAGGAAGAAGCUUGCCUUCGGUGGGGACCAGGAGGCUGGGAGCCCAGGCCCAUUCACUGUAACAUGUGCAGUAAAUCCCAUUAUAUUCAUGCAAAGAAUUCUACACAGCAAGGAAAAGGAAAGAGCUGUUGGCAUGCCACAACACAGGUGGAUCUCACAGACCUACUGCUGAGCUAAAGAAGGCAGCCACACACACGUACAUGCUGCAUGGGGCCGUUUCUAUCUGCCCAGAACCAGGCAAGAACCAUCCAUGCCAACAGCUUCAUUGCUGCUGUUUCUGGGGUUGUUGACUGGAGGGGCGAGGGGACCCUCUCAGGUGUGGAAAUGUUCUGUGAUGAGAUGGAAGUUUCCUGCAUGUCUGUGCAUGUGAGAUGCAUCCAGCUGCACACUUCAGAUGCAUGCAUUUUAUUGCAUAUGUUAUGCCUUGAUUUUUAAAAGUCUUGAAAUAUUGAAUCCUGAACAUCCCUAUGAAACAAAUAAUAAAACAGCCCGAGGAUCC
rnacentral:lncRNA from 1 species